GAUGAACGCUGGCGGCGUGCCUAAUACAUGCAAGUCGAGCGAACAGAUGAGGAGCUUGCUCCUCUGACGUUAGCGGCGGACGGGUGAGCAACACGUGGAUAACCUACCUAUAAGACUGGGAUAACUUCGGGAAACCGGAGCUAAUACCGGAUAAUAUAUUGAACCGCAUGGUUCAAUAGUGAAAGACGGUUUUGCUGUCACUUAUAGAUGGAUCCGCGCCGCAUUAGCUAGUUGGUAAGGUAACGGCUUACCAAGGCAACGAUGCAUAGCCGACCUGAGAGGGUGAUCGGCCACACUGGAACUGAGACACGGUCCAGACUCCUACGGGAGGCAGCAGUAGGGAAUCUUCCGCAAUGGGCGAAAGCCUGACGGAGCAACGCCGCGUGAGUGAUGAAGGUCUUCGGAUCGUAAAACUCUGUUAUUAGGGAAGAACAAAUGUGUAAGUAACUAUGCACGUCUUGACGGUACCUAAUCAGAAAGCCACGGCUAACUACGUG
rnacentral:rRNA from 1 species